CUGGGUCUGACUCUCCCUCCUCUCUUCGUGUCACAGGGAACUCUGACGUAGCAACAUAAAUUGUCCCUGUACCAUGUUGGCGACCAGGUAUGCGGCUAAAUUGAAGUAGCCCUAUUUUCAUCCUAGGUUUGCGGUAGCUACAUUAGUACAUGCGCAAAACCCAAGUCGUUAACUGGACUUUCGAUUGGACUUUAAAAUUGAGGAUCUGGACAUAAAACUAUUAACUGAUAAUCAAGUGGAAGACCACACACAUGAAUAAUAGAGUAUUAUAACUGUAGCAUAUACUGUCGACAACACGUGACUGUGGAGCGCUUCAACUGUAUCCACAGGGGGGGGCAGUGACCAAUCAGAGUAUCAGAAUCAAUGACGUGUUUCCGAAGCGUCGAUUUGCCGACGUGUGUGCAGACGGGGAGAAGGGAAAAACAACUUUUUAUCGGAGUUGUUUCGAGAUGGCUAUGCAUUUUCAUGGAAUAAGGCUAGUAAGCAUAUAAUUUCUCAAUUGAAUACAGACGGUUGACGUAAACAACCCUCAUCGAAUAUUCAAAACUGGAUUACAAUAAUGAGAUGCAUCCACCAAUCCAAAGAAAGGAUAUGCGGGAGUUAGGCAGCCCGGCGUGUCGCUUUGUGGACAACGACUCUCAUUAUUAGAGCGGAGAGACAUGUAACCUGUCAGUAUAGCCAUAAUCUUUGAUAAAAGUCCAUUAACAAAGAAGUAGACCAGACCCAGCUGCUAUUGCAUUGGUGUCUAUAGGAGACACAUCUAGUAGACUGGAACUUAUCUUUUUUUUUUUUUUUGCAAAACGGCGAGUGAACCAUCUUCAUUUAUCCACCAUCUUUGGUGUGUUCAGAAGGAUGCAGAGUAUGUAAACAAACAACAAUGACAGCCGUAGGCCUGGUUCUUUGCAGCCAGACGUUAGUUCUGCAUAGUUAUCAAGGUAUAUCAGACCCAUAUCCAUCAGUACAGAACACCUGUCGGCUCUGCGGACAAAAUCUGCUCAUCAAAGGGACAUUACAGGCAACACGAAGAAUAUUUGACAAGCCCAAAGCCUCGAAGGACAAAAAGUUAUGUGACAGAUUCCUUGCCACCGGUUUAGUGCUAACUGAGGCACCAGGGGUGAAGUCGGGCAGAAUUUGUGCGAAGUGCUAUCGAGUAUUUCUCAGGAUAGAGGAAUCUGUAAGCAUUUUAAAGAAAUGGCAGUCAGAGCAUCAGACACCGGGGACGAGCAAGAAGAGGAGGCGUGAACUGGAGCCGAGUCCAUCUGAAACAGACAGGGCUGCCAAGAAGACAUCUGAACGGGAGCCGAGUCCAUCUGAAACAGACAAGGGAGCCAAGAAGACAUGUCCUCCCUAUAAAAAGGUUCCCCCGAGGAGCAGUCUUGUCGAGGUUGUCAUAACAUACCCGAACCAAUUGGAUCCAAAGAGGGUCAAGAAGGUUUCAUCAGAAUUUUCUGGAAUGGUUGAAAACCUGGCGAAAGGCAAACUGGCGACAUUUGUCAGGUUAGCCUUGACGAAUGAGACCAUGUGUCAAGAAAUCAGAAAGCAGAUGACGCAGAAAAUAGAAGCAGAGGUCAAGGCAUAUGCAAGACCCUUAAAUUACUUGACCUCUGCUGAACCUUGCAUUUUGAGUAGUACCUCGUUGGAGAAAAUGAAGUAUUUUUCAUACGAAGCGUUGGAUAAUGAGUUGUCCAGGAAGACACCAUGGCUUUAUACCACCAUCAAUACUGCAACAGGUGGUUCCACCAUCCAUAACUGUGUGGCUGCCUCUGUGGUCCUGAGAGGUAGAAACCCCAGGCUUUCUGCACUGGCCUAUGUCAUCAACACAACACUGACCCAAGGGGGGGUUAAGCCCAUUUUCAAAAGACUCUCUAAAAUGGGCAUAACAACCACACAUAGCAAUGUCCUAAAUAAGCAGAAAGAGAUGAAGGCAGCUGGGUACAACAUCAACAUCAAAUGCUGGAGGGAGGACUGUGAGCUGUUUUUCCAACAUAGUGUCAGCGGUGAAGUCUGCCCACGACCUCCUCCUACGGCUAAACCGACAGAGGAGACCGGAAGAGAGGAGGACGGGGGGCCAGUGGAGGAUGAGUUUGAAAUAGAGCUGGACUGGGGUCCACUGGAGGAAGAGGGUGAAGAAGAUGAGGAAGAGUGGAGUCCACUGUCAGAAGAGACAGAAAGAGAGGAGGAUAGAGGAUCAACAGUACAGGAAGAGAGAGAAGAAGAGAAAGACAGGGGUUCCCUGCUAGGAGAGACAGAAACAGAGGAAGCGGGACAUGCAUCAUCAGCACUACAAGGAAAUGACACACAGGAAGAGGACUCUGAUUCAACGGUGGAUUCAGAGACGGAAUACUUUGGAUUAAACCUCACCUUUUUGACCUUUGUCUUGUCGCUGCAACUUCCCAACGGACUCAGGAGAGGCGAAGGUCGAGCCGUGGGUCCUCGGAAACAUGACCCGCCAAGCCGUGCUGCUUCUUAACCCACUGCUCACUUAACCUGGAAGCCAGCCACACCAAUGUUUCGGAGGAAACACAGUCCGCCCGAAGACCGAAGUCAGCUUCCAGGUACCCGGCCCGAUGAUCCAAGGAAACUCCCCCCCCCCUGGUCAAACCCUCCCCUACCACGGACGGCGCUGGGCCAACUGUACUCCGCCCUAUGGCACUCCCGGUCACGGAUCAAACGCCCAUCCCAGUGGAACAUCAGAACUGCGAUGCAGAGCCUCAGACCGCUGGGAGGAUUACAUUUGUAUGGGUUCAACUGAGGAAGAAGAGACCGGAAGGCUGCUCACAGAAUCAUUCUCACCAUCCGUGAAGGACAGCACCUGGAAGGCUACGGUUCCACCCAGCUGUCAGAGGGAGAGAGAACCUGCAUCCCAAAUUACACCCGAUUCCCUAUAUAGUGCCCUUAUCGGGCUCUGGUCAGAAGGAAUGCACUGAUUGAAUAGGGUGCCAUUUGUGACGAAACCCUUGAAUACAAAAAUAAAUAAAAAAUAAAACCUACAUCAAGUAUUUCAGAGAGGGGUCUGUCUGGGUUAUGUUCAGGAAGGAGACAUGUUCUGGG
ensembl:lncRNA